CUGUUUCGGAUUCUGUGUCUCCCUCUCUCUCUGCCCCUCCCCUGUUCAUGCUCUGUCUCUCUCUGUCUCAAAAAUAAAUAAACGUUAAAAUUAAAAAAAAAGUGAAAAUUAACAAGUGAAACUAAAUUUAAGAGUAUAUUCAACCCAAUGUCUCUAUAAUACUGUCAUUUUAAACAUGUAGUCAACAAAAUAAUUAUUAGUGAGAUAUUUUAUGUUCUCUUUUUCCUGCUAAGGCUUUGAGAUCCAGUGUGUAUUACAUACCGUAAGCACAUCUCAAUUCCGACUAAGCCACAUUUCAAGCGCCUAACUGGCCACAUAUGGCUAGUAGCCACUGUGUUGGAUAUUGCUUCUAGAAGGUCUGUUUGAUACAGUUCUCUAAGCAUACUGCAAACUCACAAUACCUUUUCAACUGAAGUUCAUGUUUUAUGGCACACCUGAUGAGAUUUUUUUCUUUUCCCACUGAAAGAAUUUUUCUUGUUGUGUCUUGAAUGUGGCUCUUUUACAAGAGCCCAGCAUUGGGAUGUGAGUGGUGGUCGACUAGGCUCUCUCUUCCUGGGUGACAUGACACCCUGCACUAGCUCUCAGGUCCUUUAUUUCUCAAGAGAUUCAAAAUUAGCUAUUGGCUGUGGAUCUUCCAGGUCUGUUAGAAUAAUUGCCAGGCAUUUGGAAAGUUAAAAGUUGCAGUUCCGGGUCUUUUGUACUUCCUCUAAGACAUGACUGUCAGGUGUGAAAAAUCUACUGUGGCUAGAUCCAUUUGUUGUAUUAAUCACUACCUUCCCUUGAGGUUGAUUUACGGUUCCGUGAGAAAUUCUGAAAAACGCUUAGUGCCAACGAGACCCCGUUCAUUCACAGAGAAAGACCGGAAUGUAGGUUUGAAGUAAAGAAAAAUAAGUUUCCAAGGCCCCUGGGAAAAAGUGUUUGGUCACUUAAAUUCUCAUCAGUUUUCUGUGAGUAACAUCAAACCUGCUAUUCUGUGUAUGGGUCUGGUAGCAUCUUCCACACAAAGAACAGGAGAGCAGUGUUAAUUACCACCCCCCUCCAGGGGGGCACUUACUAUUAAAAGUAUUUGUAGAUUAGUUUUAGUUUCGCAUUGUAAUUUGAUGUUUGAUACAUAAAGACUUCUGGCCCAGAAUACCUUUAUUCUCUUGUUAGAAAGUUGCGGACUUUGUGUGUGGGGAGGGGGUGGAAUCUGGAUUUUAUGGUUAGAACUGGAUUGGCACCCUCUUCACUGGGGCAGGAGCCUUGUCCCCUGAAUAACCCAACGUAGGGGACAAGGAUGGUGAUCUUAGGUUUUUAGCUUUCAAAUUGCCAGACGUGGUUUGCUUUUGUGUUCCCUAAAUGGUACUGGAAUCUUCUUUAUUCCAGUGAUACCUUGUGGUAGACUGUAUUCGGCAACCUCUCCUACCAAGGGGUUAAAAUGAAUCUGUCUCAUCAGUGUCUUUUUGUUUAAGGAGAGCAUAAAAGUGCUGAUGGUUAGCUUUACUUCCUCGUAUGCUCAUUUUUUAUUUUUACUGCAGGAGUUACUGACUUUUCCCCCCUGUCUCUUUCUCUCUCUCUUAAAAAAACAAAACAAAACAAAACUUCAUUGAUAUGUCAAAAAGAUGAAAAGAUGUUAUCAACAUACGUUGACUUUUCUGUUUCUUUGCUUUCCUGCCCACCUCCUCCCCACCCCCACUUUUAAAAAUAGAUCUUAUAAAAUCAGGCAUUUGCCAAAGCUGCAGUUUUGAAGCAUAAGGUUUUCCCCUUUUCUGAUGUAUAAAUGCUAACCCUCCUCCCUCCUUUGCAGACACAGGCAUUUUCCUUUUUUGGGUUUUAGUUUAAUGAUUGCACAUUAUGAAGGUUUUGACAGAUCCUUUAAAAUAUAGGUCUAUUGAUAUAUAUGCUGGUGAUCUUGGCUGCCAGCUUCAUUGGUGAUGGGGACACAUACAUGCACUGGAAACUCACAGAGGCUGGACAGACCUCUGUCCUCCAAUAUUGCAUCAUUAUUUUCCACCAAUAAUGCCAGGGCCAACCUUAAUAAUUUUACAGGGGCUAUCUCUUGAUGUAAAGCAGUGGUUCUCCACUGGGGUCAAUUUUAUCUGCAAGGAGCCAUUUGGCAAUGUCCGGAGACCCGUUUCCUUGUUGGCACAUGCCUGGAGCUACCAGCAUCCAAUGGGUAGAGGCCAGGGAUGUGACUAAACAAGCUACACUCUACAGGACAGACUCCCACCCAUAACAUUAUUCACUCAAAAUGUUAGUGGUGUUGAGGCUGAGAAACUCAACGAUAAGGGAUGCUUUCUAGGAUUGAGCUGUGGCCAGUGUAUUUCUUUCUCCUGUUAUUAAAAAAUACACCAACAAUUGAAAAGCCACCAACUGUAUUCAUCAUAAAUGGUCUCUUAAAGAAAAUCCCAGGGCUACUCUUCCCACAAAAAGGAAAGAAAACAAAAUCAAAGGGGCCCCCUGGUAUGAGUUACCCACUGAUGAUAUUCCCUCUGAGGACUGUUUUCUGGGUUAGAGUAAUUAACAGAACCCAGAAGGUUGUGAAGUCUAAGUUAAAGGGUGUCAGAGAUUCGGUCCCCAGAUGGGCCAUCCCGCUGAGAUGUAUGACAGUAUAAACUACAAUUAAAUCUCGUAGUGUAUUUACGUUUUGAGGGGAGGAAAAGGAAGGAAUGCUCUUUAGUCAUUCUUACCAGAGGAAAACUCCUAUUUUUCAUUUUAAUGUGAUUUCUUAUGAAGUGUAGAUGCUGGAUAGUGAAAAGGGGGGUGGAAAUGAAUUUACAAAUCUUGCUGUUCGCAAAGUGUGACAUGACCUUUUAUUUUUAUAUUGUGGAUUGUGUUUUCUAUUAAGCCGUCGAUCAUAUUUUCUCUUUGCCAUUUCAAAAAAGGAAAACACGGCCUUUUUGCGGAUUUUAGUACAUGGGGACAACAUUUGUUACGAUAAUGGCUAAGGUUGUGGGCUAGGCUUUUGGUGCCAAUUUUUUUUUCUAAUUCAAAAAAUUUGUUUUUAUAUUUUUAUUUAAUUUGAGAGAGAGAUAGAGAGCAAGGGGGGAGGGGCAGAGAGAGAGGGAUAGAGAAUUCCAAGCAGGCUCAGACCACAAUGAAGGGCUUGAACCCAUGAACCGUGAGAUCAUAACCCGAGCCGAAAUCAAGAGUCGGAUGCUUGACUGACUGAGCCACCUAGGCGCCCCUGAAGCUAAUUUCUUUUGAAUUGACCAGUAUCAAGUGCACUGAACACGGUUUUGUGUGCCUAGGUCUCUGCUAGAGCUUGUGGGCACCAUUUUUAGCCUGAACUUAUGAGAUGCGGUCACUGAGAUGAUACCUGAGCAUUAUCGUUUUGGUCCUUCAACGUGGAGGGAGAGAGAAAAUCCAAUUAUAUCAAGCAUACUGGAUUGAAUAAUCUUAGAAUGGACUUUGUGGGCAAUAAUGGUGUUGACAAGAAACAGAGUUAGGUUUCUAAAGUUAGUGAACCCCGUUCACCUGUUGGCACAAGUGCAUCUGGGCAGUGUGUCCCCAGUAUAAUCGAAGGGUAUUUGUAGUGGAUGGCUUAAAGACUCUCUUUUACCAUCCCACUCAUCCAAGUUCUAAAUACAUAAUGUCCUGUCCACUCUGUGACUCAUUUUAGAUGCACCUGGUGGAAAAUUGAAUUUAAUGAUCAAGUCCUUCUGAUUUCUGAGUCGUGGAAAUUCUUGUGAUUUUUGCGAUUCUGGAUUUGCAGCACAUCUUAACGAAUAUCUUUUUUCUUCCUAAGUUAUCUUAAACAUGCGAUAGCGUGGUGAGUGGGGUUGGGCUGGUUAUGUCAGUGGGCAAACGAAGGAAAGGAAAUGACAAUCUAGGUUCCGAUAGGCUGAAUCUCACCAGAGUGGUAAUUAUUCUUUAAAUACUAAAAUAGAGUUUUACCUAUUAGAAGGCUCAUAAAACCCGCAUCCACCAUCUAUCUGAUUUUGCCGUUGAUGUAAUUUUAGGAAAUCAAAUGAACUGAGAUGGAAAUUAGGUUUCAUCCUCAGUGGCUUGUGUACCCCUCUAAGUUCUAUUAGAUUUAAUAGGAGUUUUGCAGGUGGAAACACAGCAGGACCACAGCUUUUAUCCCUCCAGAGAGCAGGCCUUUCAUAAACAGAAUAUAAAAUCAUGCCUUUUAUCUCGCCAUUUAAAAAUCUCUGCAUUUUCUGCACCCAAGUUAUUUAUCACAUGCACGGAGAAGACAAUCCAGGAUUGUAUUUUGAAAAAGGGGAAAGGGAAGCCAUUCAGAUUCCUAUUAAAAUGAAUUGUACAAGCUGUACAUCACUUUCUAAUUUCUGAGACUACUUGUAAAUCAUGGGGAGAGAGGGCAUUCUACCAUUGGUCAGGGGAAAAAUGGGAAAUUUAAUAGUUUGUCAAAGAUUAAUAAGAAAGGAUUACCGCUUGGAAAGACCCCGACUUGGUGAGCAAGUACGUUUUGAAGUUCAUCAAGCUUAUAAGCAGAUGGAGGGGUUUAAUUAAAGUUACUUGUCAUUACUCAAGUUUGCUUCUGCUCUGUCCCUGGGACAGAAGUGUAUGUUAUGCCAGUGCCAUUGUCAAAACUUAGAUGUGGCCUCGAGAGCUGGGUGUUUUUCUUUCAUGCUCUCCCUAUUCCUCUUUCAUCAUUUAGGAGCUGAUGAAUAUCUUUUACUUGUGGUCCAUUCUAUGUCUUGAUCAGUAGAAAUUCCAGGAGUUGAUUCUGUUCAUUUAUUGUGCCCUAUUUUAUGUUUUAAUUAACUUUUUAGUGAUACUGAUUUAAGUGGAAAUAGUGUAAGACUGCCAGGAAUAAGGAGUGUGUGUGUGUGUGUGUGUGUGUGUGUGUGUGUGUGUGUGUGUGUGUGUGUGUGUGUGUGUGUGUUUUAAGUGUGUCCUAACCGUACUUUCAGAUUUAAAGUCUCAAAGAUAAGACAGCAGUGGUCCUGACAUUCAUUCAUUCAUUCAUUCAUUCAUUCAUUCAUUCAUUCAACUUUGUCAAUUCAUCUGUCAGCCAUUCAACAAAUAUUUAUUCUUUACCUUCAUUUCAGGGCGUGAUUAAUUUUCCUUUUGUAUAUAAUAAUCUUUCACACAAGGUUGAAGAUUAUUCAAAAUGGAUAUGUACAUUUUACAAUUCGGUGACAACUCACCAAUAUUAAGUCAGAUAUGUUUCCGAUUUGUCAGCUUAAAUUUCCUAAGUUCCCACAUAACGCCUCGGUUAGCUGCUUUCUACAGUAGGAGCUGAGGAUUAUUCUGAAACGCAUGUAUAUGCCUGCGCUUAUCAACUUAAACUCAGAUUCAUCAUUAAAUUUGCUAGGUUUUGGGGUACCUCCUCAAUUAGCUGCUUUCCACAGUAGAGGUUCUUCAGGGCCCGCGAUAUCAACAAAAUGGCGCUGGGUCUUUAAAGAAGUGCUGUGCUCUUAGGGUCCUUCUGAUAUCUACCCUCAGUAGCCCUGUGUGUUGGUCCAGCCCUGAGGUAAAUCUCGUGUUAGGAAUGGGAGGAUAGGAAGUAUUUGAGGGCAUUGUGGCAGAUAAAAAAAUAUGCUGUGAACAACUGUUUUGCUGGUGUGAUGAAUAUUUAAUGUGCACCUACUGGUUUAGGAUGCUGGAUUCAUUUAAAUGUACAUACCUGUCUUAGUGUCUUAAAUGCCCCAUGUUUUAUGGAGACAUUUAAAUUUUAAAUCCUAUAGGCAGUUCUGUUACACACAAUGAAUAAUAGCUUAGAUUGCCUUAAAUAGAUUUCUAUCCAUUAUUGUUUAGCAAAAACUAGGGUCUUGAGAAACUAGGACAGGACAGUGAGGUAGACCAUAGUAAAAAAUUGACAUGAGGUAUUGCAUGGGAAUCAACUUAAUGGCGGAAUAUGGUGUUCAAGGCUUCAGACAGAGUGAGGAAAAUACAAACUAAAAUCCGCUUGUGUGUGUUUGUCUAAGUGUGUGUGUGUGUGUGUGUGUGUGUGUGUGUGUGUGUGUGCGUGUGCGUGCGUGUGCGCGCAUGCAAGUAUGUGUGUAAUUAUAUUGGUUUGGUUUUUAGCCAUCAUGGUUUGAAGAGUUCUGGAUGCCUUUAAUACAGUAGUAAUAGCUGAGUUGUAGUUGUGAUAUUAGUAGACAUUUAUUGAAUGCAUACCAUAUUUGUGGUCUAGUGCUAUACUCUUUACAUGGAGUAUCUUGUUUGAUGUAUCUCAACAAUCUUAGGAUGAACCGUUGGCUGUUAACAUUCUCAUAGAG